rnacentral:rRNA from 1 species
GGCGUAGGUGGCCUGUCAAGUCGGAUGUGAAAUCUCCCGGCUCAACUGGGAGGGUGCAUUCGAUACUGGCGGGCUAGAGUGCAGCAGAGGGAGGUGGAAUUCCCGGUGUAGUGGUGAAAUGCGUAGAUAUCGGGAAGAACACUAGUGGCGAAGGCGGCCUCCUGGGCUGUAACUGACACUGAGGCCCGAAGGCGUGGGGAGCGAAACAGGAUUAGAUACCCUGGUAGUCCACGCAGUAAACGAUGGAUACUAGGUAUGGGGAGUAUCGACCCUCUCUGUGCCGAAGCUAACGCUUUAAGUAUCCCGCUGGGGACUACGGUCGCAAGACUAAA